GAUGUUGGUAUCAGCAGCUGCUUCAGCCUCACGGGAGAGUUUGUAACUGCAGGGCAGAGGCCAGCAGGACAUUACUCAUCUCUGAGCAACAAGGAUCAGGCCAAAAGGACAGACUGACAGCAUCCUCUGUACCUGGUUUGCUCUCUGCAGACUUUCACCUACAAAGGGUUUCCUGCAGGAGAAGGAAGGUAUUUACUAACUGUGUGUUCUGGAAAGCAAAGGUCUCCUGCCACUGGGUCUGGUUCAGCUGCUAAGGACAAAUGCCCUUGCCCAGAGGAUAUCAAUGAACCAAAAAUCACAGAACAUUCAACUUACCCUUCGUCUCUUCUCAAAAUUGAUCAGGCCACCCUGUCAGAAGGAAAGAGAAGGGAUCAGAGAAGAGCCAGACUUGUACCUUGAGAUAAAUGCACAAAAAUUCACACAAGUUCCAGUUAAUAAUACUGCAUAUUGCUUCCCUUUUCUUUUUGUAAACAGAUUUUAAGAGCACCAGAAGGAGAGGACGCAGAAACAUGUAAACUCAGUUGGGAAGGCAGGGAGGGUAUUCAAGGAUCCAAAAAACUGCCCCAAGUUACCUCAACAUAGUCCUGAAGGGCUGUGUCAAGCAUGAUGAGAUCAGUCAGGAAGGUGCCAAGGUAAGGGACCGUGCCUUGCAUCACUCCCUGCAAGUGAGCAGAGCAAUGCUGGAUUAACUGACUGAAAAAUGAGAGUAAUUACAAUUCCAGAACACUCCUGUGUAAGAAAAUGAAAUUAAAGUCAUCUGCUUAACCAAA